rnacentral:snRNA from 1 species
AUACCUUUCUCGGCCUUUUGGCUAAGAUCAAGUGUAGUAUCUGUUCUUAUAAUAUCUGAUAUGUGGGCUUAUAAGUUCACACGAUAUUAAGGGGCUGUUUGGUUGAGAGAAGCAGCUUCUGGCUUCUGCUUCUCUUGACCCGUUUGUGUAAAGAAGUAGAAGCACUUUUA